ensembl:lncRNA
GUGUGACAAACCAGCUGUGGUUUAUAUUUGUUUUAGCCUGAGAAUCUGGGCUGGGGAAAUUGAGGACACACACACACACACACACACACACACACACACACAAACACACACACACACACACACACACACACACACAUAAAAACUGCUUUUGGGAAUACAGGACCCAUUCCUGCCAUUUGCUCCAAAAUCAGACAUCAGAAGACUAUAGAGAACGGUUCAGACUGCUGAAAGGAUUAUUGGUGCUCCCCUGCCCACCCUCCAAGAACUGUAUACAUCCAGAGUGAGGAAAAGGGCUCUGGAUCCCUCACAUUCAAGCCAAUCUCCUUUUUGAACUUUUGCCAUCUGGUCAACGCUACAGAGCACUGAAUACCAGGAAAGUCAGGCACAAGAACAGUUUCUUUCCCCAGGCAAUCUACCUCAUGAACAGUUAAAUGUUCUCCCAUUGUGCAAUAAAAGAGCUGGCUCAAGCCCUGCUGUGUUACGCUCAUUUAAAGAGCACAGUGACCCUGGAACUCACAUGGAACAUGGCCCCAUUCAGUGUAAUACAAAACACCCCAACACAAUAUGGUCACCAGAAGAAAAAACAAACCACUGCCUGAACCAACUAUAUAAACAGCCAAUGCUUCAUCAGUAACUGAAAAUCUUCCAGGAAGCUUUUCCUGGAAAAGGAGACCUUGUCCAUGGUUCUCCAGGGGAUGUUGCCCUAAUUUUGGAUGAAAAUAGUGAUCAUUAUCCAGAGACAUCAGAUGCAUGGCAAAAAUCAGUCUGAGCCCUGGGCUGAAUUAAUCCAAAACAAAGCUUUCUUUGGCUUGUAUAAUAAUUUUGUUACUGAAGUUUUGUUUACAUUGUUCACGAGCAGCUGAAGGUUGUCAACUGAUGUGGUGAGAAUGAGAGAGCGUUUUGACCUAGAUUGUGGCGUGCAGUGAACGUUGUGUUGAGAAGCCAAGGACUUUGAAAUCUUUGAGUACAUGGAGUCUGUAGGUAAGCGGGCAUGUCACAGCCUGGUCUGUACACAUCCUGUAACAUUCAAAGAGAGCUAUUGCUGACCUGACUUGUCCUCCAUCCUGGUUCUUUUUGUCCUAUAGAAAAAUGAUGUCAGAAGGAUUUAUGGUAAGUGUUGGCCCUGCUUGUCCACAUCAUUGUGUGUGUAUUAAUUGCCCAAGCUUGACUCUCAGAAUUGCAAACGGUUCAUUUUGCCUAUUGUAGUCUAGCAGCAGCCCAGAUGAAUUGACUUAGAGCAUGUGUUUGAAGGCAGAUCAAGUUUUUGGACAAAUGUGAUUUUGACUCUUGCAAGCUGAAGCACAGAUGGUACAGGAUUGAAAAAUCCCAAGAACAUGCUGUCCCAGGAAAGCAGUUUUUUCCACACAUCUCUCUCUCUUUCUCUCUCUCUCUCUUCCUUUCUUUCUCUGUGUUUGAGAUGAGCAGGGAGCUGAAUCAAGUCUUUGUCCUUAGCCUAAGACACUGAAGAGGAUUAUCUAUAUGAAGGAGGGUUGCAUCAUAAGGUCCAUCAUGUUGAUGUCGCAUCACCAACCGAAUGCUAUGCUUUAUCCUGGUAGCCCCUCUAAUUUGUGAACAGUGUUAUAAAGUAAAACAAAGCUCUUUUCAUCAGAAAGAUACAACAGCAAAAUAAGAUGAUUACAAUAUAUUCAGUUUCAAGGUCACCCAAGCACCUGAUCUCACCCACUGUCCUGUUAGUGUCUGCUCUUGAACACAUUGCACAGUAGUUUAUUAACAAAAAGUUUAUAUCUACAGGCAAACAAAAAUCAUUCACUUUUACUGAGAAUAUUACAAUAUUCAGUAGUAGCUGACUGGGUUUAAAUGUACAGGUGUCCGUUUCAGGUAAUAACUGUAGUUUGUUUUAGCUAACGGUCAAUUAUAAGCACUUUGAUGCAGUUUCAUGUAUAUAAUUUGAGGAGAACUACUGUAUAUCUAAAACUAUGAUCUGUGACAUAAAAUUAAAUGCUGCCAAAAUGUCCUAAAGUCAACACUUGCUUUGCCAAUAAAGUGUCGUAAUCCUUAUGGGGUUAUGUAAGAUGCAGUCAUUCAGGUGUAUGUCCUAGACAUUCUCAACCUGAAUGAUAGUGUUACCAAUGUUACUGUAAAACAAGACAAGGCUUAUUGAAGUCAACAUAAUGUUUUCCUUCUGACUCAGUUAUUGUGUUACAUAUGAAUAGGUACACUUAUUUUUCAAAGCACUUGGAAGAAAUAAAUGGCUGGUUGUUUUAAUAUUGUGUGUGUAAAGCUCACCUGCAGAACUUUAGCAACAUUAUCAACCCGCAGCAAUAUUAUCUGGCAGAUUGUGGUUGAGAGGAGUGGUUUAAGUUAGGAAUAUCUUGCCUGUGGGUUCUUCUUUCCCAUUCAG